rnacentral:rRNA from 1 species
AUUGAACGCUGGCGGCAUGCCUUACACAUGCAAGUCGAACGGCAGCACGGGAGCAAUCCUGGUGGCGAGUGGCGAACGGGUGAGUAAUAGUAUCGGAACGUGCCCAGUCGUGGGGAUAACGUAGCGAAAGCUACGCUAAUACCGCAUACGAUCUAUGGGUGAAAGCGGGGGAUCGCAAGACCUCGCGCGAUUGGAGCGGCCGAUAUCAGAUUAGGUAGUUGGUGAGGUAAAGGCUCACCAAGCCGACGAUCUGUAGCUGGUCUGAGAGGACGACCAGCCACACUGGGACUGAGACACGGCCCAGACUCCUACGGGAGGCAGCAGUGGGGAAUAUUGGACAAUGGGCGAAAGCCUGAUCCAGCCAUGACCGCGUGUGUGAAGAAGGUCUUCGGAUUGUAAAGC